GGCUCCAAGUUGACCAUCCUUGACUCAGAUGAUCUUUUCCAGGAAAUAGGCUGAUUGUUUAUUGCAGAGCCUUUCCUAAUGUUGAUCUCAGACAAUGUUACUGACCAGAUAUGAAAUCAAGGUUGAAGCUAUUUCAGCAAUGAUUCCUAAAACUGGGAUUACACAGUUUAAAUAUUUGGUUGUAAAUGGUUUUUAAAUUCAUAGAUAUAUUCGCUUCAAGUCAUGUAUCAUCAAAUAAUGUGAAAGACACUGCAGAAAGACAGUCAAGACAUCAGGAAUGUGUUUUAACCAGGGCACAACUUUGUUAAGUAAUAAAUAUGGGAAUUAUCCAAUAA